GAUGAACGCUGGCGGCGUGCCUAAUACAUGCAAGUCGAGCGAAUGGAUUAAGAGCUUGCUCUUAUGAAGUUAGCGGCGGACGGGUGAGUAACACGUGGGUAACCUGCCCAUAAGACUGGGAUAACUCCGGGAAACCGGGGCUAAUACCGGAUAACAUUUUGAACCGCAUGGUUCGAAAUUGAAAGGCGGCUUCGGCUGUCACUUAUGGAUGGACCCGCGUCGCAUUAGCUAGUUGGUGAGGUAACGGCUCACCAAGGCAACGAUGCGUAGCCGACCGGGGAGGGUGAGCGGCCACACUGGGACUGAGACACGGCCCAGACUCCGACGGGAGGCAGCAGUAGGGAAUCUUCCGCAAUGGACGAAAGUCUGACGGAGCAACGCCGCGUGAGUGAUGAAGGCUUUCGGGUCGUAAAACUCUGUUGUUAGGGAAGAACAAGUGCUAGUUGAAUAAGCUGGCACCUUGACGGUACCUAACCAGAAAGCCACGGCUAACUACGUGCCAGCCGCCGCGGUAA
rnacentral:rRNA from 1 species